UACGAAGGUGGCAAGCGUUGUUCGGAUUUACUGGGCGUAAAGGGAGCGUAGGUGGUGCGGUAAGCCCUCCGGGAAAGCUUCAGGCUUAACCUGAAAAGGUCGGAGGGGACUGCCACGCUAGAGGACGGGAGAGGAGCGCGGAAUUCCCGGUGUAGCGGUGAAAUGCGUAGAGAUCGGGAGGAACACCAGUGGCGAAGGCGGCUUCCUGGUCUGCAACUGACGCUGUGGCGCGAAAGCUAGGGGAGCAAACGGG
rnacentral:rRNA from 1 species